UUUUCUGGAUCACUAUAUGGCAGCGGUUUGCAAGAAUGAAUGAAUCAACACAGAAUAUCAUGGGAACAAAGCAAAUUUGAUAACAGAAGUAAACAGGAAACUUUUUAAAAAUGAGCAGAGCAGUUUUCUUUGUUGCAGAAAUGGCUCCAAGGAACAGGAUAAUUGCUAAGAAAUUGGGAAAGAACUUUGUAUACUGAAGUCUCAUUCAUUGUUACAUUUCUAGCUGAAAUGACGAAGCCUAGCCCAAGGAAGAGGUCACGCACAAGAGCGAUCACAAGCGACACGGCUAAGGGCAGAUGCUGUGGUGUUUCCGCCACUCAGAUUAAGACCGCCCGUGUAGCGCCCCUUAAGGGUUUUUUCGCCACGAAGCAGGAAAUCAGCUACUGGUCUGUCGGUCAGAGCUGGUGGAUGGCAUAGAGAA